GAGAAAUUACCGCAGCUCCGGGAACGACGCAAUGUCUCCCUGACUGGCGGAUAUUACAUUUGUUUUGGUGCUGUUUGAGGGCUGAACUCUGUCGCCCAGUGUGUCUGAAGUGGCAAAGGAAGUCACGCUGUAUAAUUCUGUCAGCAUUUCAGCCAAAGAUAGUGCGGAAAAAAAGUCCUAAAGGAAAACCCUGCAAGAAUAACAAUCCAGCAACACAACACACCUUUCAAUUAAUUUUACUCACAAUAAAGGGAAGAGGAACAGGCCUUGGGAACACACCGUUGAGAUGGAAUUGGGGGAAAAAUAGGAGGUGGAAGCCUGUCCAAGAACAGCACUCGUUUUAUAGUUCUGGCUGUCCUUAAGGACAUUUCCUGUUGUUAUGCGCUGCUGGA